UACGGAGGGAGCUAGCGUUGUUCGGAAUUACUGGGCGUAAAGCGCACGUAGGCGGCUACUCAAGUCAGAGGUGAAAGCCCGGGGCUCAACCCCGGAACUGCCUUUGAAACUAGGUAGCUAGAAUCCUGGAGAGGUCAGUGGAAUUCCGAGUGUAGAGGUGAAAUUCGUAGAUAUUCGGAAGAACACCAGUGGCGAAGGCGACUGACCGGACAGGUAUUGACGCUGAGGUGCGAAAGCGUGGGGAGCAAACAGG
rnacentral:rRNA from 1 species